UGCGUAGGCGGGUCUUUAAAGUCAGGGGUGAAAUCCUGGAGCUCAACUCCAGAACUGCCUUUGAUACUGAGGAUCUUGAGUUCGGGAGAGGUGAGUGGAACUGCGAGUGUAGAGGUGAAAUUCGUAGAUAUUCGCAAGAACACCAGUGGCGAAGGCGGCUCACUGGCCCGAUACUGACGCUGAGGCACGAAAGCGUGGGGAGCAAACA
rnacentral:rRNA from 1 species